GAGGAAGUAAAAGUCGUAACAAGGUUUCCGUAGGUGAACCUGCGGAAGGAUCAUUACCGAAUCGUCAACACGAGUUGUUGCUGGCCCUCAAACGGGGGCAUGUGCACGCUCUGUUUGCAUCCACUCACACCUGUGCACCCUCUGUAGUUCUGCUGUCUGGAGGACCCCGUCUUCCACCUGUGGUUCUAUGUCUUUACACACACACUGUAACAUGGUUUUAUGGAAUGUACGCAGCGUUUAACGCAAUACAAUACAACUUUCAGCAACGGAUCUCUUGGCUCUCGCAUCGAUGAAGAACGCAGCGAAAUGCGAUAAGUAAUGUGAAUUGCAGAAUUCAGUGAAUCAUCGAAUCUUUGAACGCACCUUGCGCCUUUUGGCUAUUCCAAAGGGCAUGCCUGUUUGAGUAUCAUGAACACCUCAACUCUCAUGGUUUGCCAUGACGAGCUUGGACUUUGGAGGCUUUGCCGGCCUGCGGUUGGCUCCUCCCAAACGAAUUAGCUUUCCAGUUCAUGGCGGCGUCACAGGUGUGAUAAAUAUCUACGCUUGUGGUCGUCUGCCAGACAACCUCUGAUGCCAGAGGUUUGCUGGAGCUCAUAAACGUCUCUCCUAAGCGAAGACAGCCUUCCGAACGUUUGAUCUCAAAUCAGGUAGGAUUACCCGCUGAACUUAAGCAUAUCAUA
rnacentral:rRNA from 1 species